rnacentral:rRNA from 1 species
AUGCCGCGUGUGUGAUGAAGGCCUUAGGGUCGUAAAGCACUUUCGCCUGUGAUGAUAAUGACUGUAGCAGGUAAAGAAACCCCGGCUAACUCCGUGCCAGCAGCCGCGGUAAUACGGAGGGGGUUAGCGUUGUUCGGAAUUACUGGGCGUAAAGCGCGCGUAGGCGGAUUGGAAAGUUGGGGGUGAAAUCCCGGGGCUCAACCCCGGAACUGCCUCCAAAACUCCCAGUCUAGAGGUCGAGAGAGGUGAGUGGAAUUCCGAGUGUAGAGGUGAAAUUCGUAGAUAUUCGGAGGAACACCAGUGGCGAAGGCGGCUCACUGGCUCGAUACUGACGCUGAGGUGCGAAAGUGUGGGGAGCAAACAGGAUUAGAUACCCUGGUAGUCCACACCGUAAACGAUGAAUGCCAGUCGUCGGGGAGCUUGCUCUUCGGUGACGCACCUAACGCUUUAAGCAUUCCGCCUGGGGAGUACGGUCGCAAGAUUAAAACUCAAG